UACGUAGGGGGCGAGCGUUGUCCGGAAUUACUGGGCGUAAAGGGCGUGUAGGCGGUUUCUUAAGUCGGAUGUGAAAGGCCAGGGCUUAACCGUGGCAUUGCAUCCGAAACUGGGGAGCUUGAGGGUGGUAGAGGAGAGCGGAAUUCCCGGUGUAGCGGUAAAAUGCGUAGAUAUCGGGAGGAACACCAGUGGCGAAGGCGGCUCUCUGGGCCAACCCUGACGCUGAGGCGCGAAAGCUAGGGGAGCGAACGGG
rnacentral:rRNA from 1 species